CGAACGCUGGCGACAGGCCUAACACAUGCAAGUCGAGCGGGCAUCCUUCGGGAUGUUAGCGGCGGACGGGUGAGUAACGCGUGGGAACGUGCCCUUUGCUACGGAAUAGCCUCGGGAAACUGAGAGUAAUACCGUAUGUGCCCUUCGGGGGAAAGAUUUAUCGGCAAAGGAUCGGCCCGCGUUGGAUUAGCUAGUUGGCGGGGUAAAGGCCCACCAAGGCGACGAUCGGUAGCUGGUCUGAGAGGAUGAUCAGCCACACGGGCACUGAGACACGGGCCCGACUCCUACGGGAGGCAGCAGUAAGGAAUAUUGGUCAAUGGACGCAAGUCUGAACCAGCCAUGCCGCGUGAAGGAUUAAGGUCCUCUGGAUUGUAAACUUCUUUUAUAUGGGACGAAAAAGGUCUUUCUAGACCCCUUGACGGUACCAUAUGAAUAAGCACCGGUUAACUCCGUGCCAGCAG
rnacentral:rRNA from 1 species